rnacentral:rRNA from 1 species
GAUGAACGCUGGCGGCGUGCCCAACACAUGCAAGUCGAGCGAUCUUCUUCGGAAGAGAGCGGCGGACGGGUGAGUAACGCGUGGGUAACCUGCCCUGUACACACGGAUAACAUACCGAAAGGUAUGCUAAUACGAGAUAAUAUGCUUUUGUCGCAUGGUAGAAGUAUCAAAGCUCCGGCGGUACAGGAUGGACCCGCGUCUGAUUAGCGAGUUGGUAAGGUAACGGCUUACCAAGCCGACGAUCAGUAGCCGACCUGAGAGGGUGAGCGGCCACAUUGGAACUGAGACACGGUCCAAACUCCUACGGGAGGCAGCAGUGGGGAAUAUUGCACAAUGGGCGAAAGCCUGAUGCAGCAACGCCGCGUGAGCGAUGAAGGCCUUCGGGUCGUAAAGCUCUGUCCUCAAGGAAGAUAAUGACGGUACUUGAGGAGGAAGCCCCGGCUAACUACGUGCCAGCCGCCGCCGUAA